CAUGCAAGUCGGACGAGAAAGGAAGCUUCGGCUUCUGAGUACAGUGGCGCACGGGUGCGUAACACGUAAGUAAUCUACCCUGGACUCUGGGAUAACUCCCCGAAAGGGGGGCUAAGACUGGAUAGAGUACCUGAGGUGCAAGCCGCAGGAGGAAAACAGGCCUCUGGCACACGCUUGUGGUCCAGGAUGAGCUUGCGGCCCAUUAGCUAGUUGGUGGGGUAAGCGCUCACCAAGGCGACGAUGGGUAGCUGGUCUGAGAGGAUGAUCAGCCACACUGGCACUGAGAUACGGGCCAGACUCCUACGGGAGGCAGCAGUGGGGAAUUUUGCGCAAUGGGCGAAAGCCUGACGCAGUAACGCCGCGUGGAGGAUGACGGCCUUCGGGUUGUAAACUCCUGUCAGAGGGAACGAGAGCCCGCAAGGGAAGACCUUGCUUGGCGAGACGGUACCCUCAAAGGAAGCCCCGGCUAAUUCCGUGCCAGCAGCCGCGGUAAUACGGAAGGGGCAAGCGUUGUUCGGAAUCAUUGGGCGUAAAGGGCGCGCAGGUGGUCCUAUGUGUCUACUGUGAAAGCACACGGCUCAACCGUGUCGGGUCGGUGGAAACUGUAGGACUUGAGGCUGGGAGGGGCUGGUGGAAUUCCCUGUGUAGCGGUGAAAUGCGUAGAGAUGGGGGAGAACACUCGUGGCGAANGCGGCCAGCUGGACCAGUCCUGACACUGA
rnacentral:rRNA from 1 species